AUUGCUGAAAUGCGGGUUGUAGUUCAGGAACAUGUAGCCGCGGCCCUGGUCGAUGGUGUGAAACAACGGAUUCCAGUCGAACAUUUUCAGGAUGUAGCUGGGCAUCAUGUUGGCCACGAACAUCUUGCCCGAGGCUAUCAUGUUGGCGCGCAUG
rnacentral:ncRNA from 1 species